UAGGCAUCCUGGAAGACGUUCAGC
rnacentral:siRNA from 1 species